rnacentral:tRNA from 1 species
UAGUGAGUAGUUUAAGGGGGAAAACGAUAGAUUGUGGUUCUAUAAAUAGUAAUUGUGGCUCUCAUUAG